UUUCCAGCUUUAAGAAGUCCUUUUUAGUGGUGAUGAACUCCUUUAGCUUUUGCUUACUAGAAAAACUUGUUCUUUCCUUCAAUUCUGAAUGACUUUUCCAAGAAGAGUAUUCUUGGAAGUUUUUUCUUUCAGCACUUUGAAUAUAUCAUGACACUCCUUUAUGGCUUGCAAAGUUUCUGCUGAAAAUUUGCUGAGAGUCUUGAGGGAGUUCCCUUGUAUGUAAAAAGUUAUUUUUUUCUUGGUUCACUUAAGUUUCUCUCCUUGUCUUUAACUUUUGAUAUUUUAAUUGUAAUGUGUCUUUGAUAUGGGUGUCUUUGGGUUCUUAUUUGGAAGGCUCUGGGCUUCCUGGAUAUGGUUGUCUGUUGCCUUACUCAUGUUAGGGAAAGUUUUAGCCAUAUUUCUUCAAAUAAGUUCUUUGUCCCUUUCUCUCUCACUUCUCCUUCUGGGACUCCUGGAAUGCAGAUGGUCGUCUGUGUUGGUUUGUGUGAUGUUGUCCCAUAAGUCCUUUCAGCUAUCUUUACUUUUUUUUUUUUCCAUUUUUUUUCUUUUUGCUGCUUUGAUUGGGUGAAUCCCAUUGCUUUGUCUUUGAGUUCAGUGAUCCUUUCUUCUGCUUCUUCUAGUCUGCUGUUAAACCCCUCUAGUGUGUUUUUCAGUUCAGUUACUGUAUAUUUCAGCUCUGUGGCUUCUAUUUGUUACUUUCUUGUAUUUUUCCUAUCUCCUUGUUGAAGUUCUCACUGUGUUCAUCCAUUCCUCCCCCAAGUUUGGUGAGCAAAUUUAUGACUUAUUUUUAACUCAUCAGGUAAAUCACUUCAUUAAGAUUUUUAUCAUGAGGUUUUAAUCGUUUGGAACAUACUCCUCUGUUUCUUCAUUUUCCUUGACUCUCUGUGUUGGUUUCUGUGCAUUAGAUAAAACAACCACCUCUCCCAGUCUUAAAGGAGUGGCCUCAUGUAGGAGAUGAACCUUACUGUUAAACCCUGCCCUAACUCUUGAUCGUCUCUCAAAACAUUGUAAGUGUUCAAGCUGCCUAUUUUAUUUUCAGUGGUUCACAGUAGUUGAGGGUGUGCUAAGAUCUGUCAGUGUCCCAAAGGGGAGAAUCUCAGCACCUAGAUUCAGGCUGAAUGGAAGCCAGUCCCACAGGUAGCAGGUUUUAAAAUAUACAAAUAUAUAUAGUCUUGUAGGAUGGACCACAAGCAUAAGUCCUGCUGGCUACCAGAGCCAGGUGAUCAGCAAGUGUCCCCUGGGUGGCAGUUACAAAAAUUGGGCCUCUAGAUGAGUGUAUAAGCCCCCUUUCUGGGAGAUGCUGGUGACCUGGAGCGAGGUGGAGAAACAGCACAAAGAUGGCUUACAUUUCCUAAGAGCACAUCCGUAGGUGUCUAGAUGUGUGCCAAACCGGAAGCCUGCCCCUCAAGCCAAAGCUCCAGGACAAGCAAGUAGGCCUCUUACACAGAAAGACUGGGGGUAUAUGUUUUAGUCUGCUGUCUGUGCAGUACUCUGGGGAUGGUAGCCGGCCAAGAACUGUAUCUCUGAUUGUUUUGGGGUGGGCAGAUGAGUCAGAGCUCACAAGUCCUUUAAGAACUGUUUCUCAGUUUGCUGUAGCCUUGUGCGUCUUCUGGACACAAGCUCCAUGGGCUUUCAAAGCUAGAUGUUUUCGGGGCUCAUUUCUCAGGUGGUCUUUAAGGUUGGGUGCUGAUGUGGGCUUCAAAUUUUUCGGUCUGCAGGGAGAAGCUCUGAGUUUUGAGUUCGCUCCUGAUGGCCGGUUGCUGUGUUGGGGUGGAGUUUAUGUUGAGACUGUGUCCUAGCCUCUCCUACCCUCUUUGAUGCAAGCCUUCUCUCAUUUGCCAGAUAAAUAGGAGUCACACGGAUAAUUUGGGGGUUUUUUCCUAGAGGAAAUUGUCACAUAUGCAGCUGUAGAUCUGGUGUUGCCAUGGGACAAGCUUUGAUUUUCUAACCUGGAAAAUGGAACUGCCUAGCUUGAAUGGACUUGGGAAGACAGAAAUAAUACACUCUUACACACAUGCCUUGGCAUCCCACCAAGCACAAGGAGCCCUGAAGGACCAGGACAGGAGCAAAUCUGAAGGGACGUGCUGUUUGUUUGUGUUGCAGGGGUUUGUUCUCAUCUGGAUCAGGCUGUCUUUGCCCGAGACUGUCAGAAAGUUGAUCCAGGGCAUCGUCAAGUUCUUUGUCGUCACUCCGCUAAAAAGUAAAUCUGAAUCAGUCACUGGUUAGCCAAAUGAGGUCGCCUGUUGGAGUGCAGCCCUGACACUGCCACUAAGACUUCCAUAAGCUUAUGGGGUUGUCACCAGGGAGAUGGGCAGGUGGGCAGAGGCGCUGGAUCGGCGAUCCUUGCUUGGUGCUCCUUCUCGUCUUUCACUCUCAGCACUUGUCUGCACCCGUCUACCCCGCCCCACCCCUGGAUGUCUUUCUCUUCUGAGAAAAUAGGUCCCUCCCUAAAAAGAUGGGGUUCCUGGACUGAUUCUUCUAGAAACUAUGUCUUAUGAUGCUUUCAAUAUAUGUAACAGUAUGUUCCCAGCAAAGAAAAGUCACAUGAAUUAUGAUAGCUUAGUUUACUCUUUGAUUCCCAACUGUAUUCCUGUAAAGAAAGAUUUAUACCUAGUUUUAAUGAUAUCUUCAAACAAAAUAUUAACUAACACUAGAAACUCUGAUGGGAAAAGUGAUGGUAAAGGUGUCAUUCUAAAACAUACCUGUGAAACGCAAAAAGGCUUUUGAUUGUGGACGUUUAUUAACAGCCUCAAUCACAGGGGCCCCUGGAAUCUGAGUAUUAAGAAUUGAAGUGUAGGGCUUCCCUAGUGGCGCAGCGGUUGACAGCCCGCCUGCUGAUGCAGGGGACAUGGGUUCGUGCCCUGGUCUGGGAAGAUCCCACAUGCCGCAGAGCGGCUGGGCCCGUGAGCCAUGGCCGCUGAGCCUGCGCAUCUGGAGCCUGUGCUCCGCAACGGGAGAGGCCGCAGCAGUGAGAGGCCCGCGUACCGCAAAAAAAAAAAAAAAAAAAAAAAAGAAUUGAAGUGUAAAUGGCAGCCUUCCUUUCUGUUGCACAGGGACUUCUGUCAUUGUGGCUGUGUGUACAUACACAGACACACACAUAGACACAUGGAGAGAGGGCAUUUUACUGGUUUUAAGUGCUUCAUUAGAGCCCAGGAUUAUAGCAGCUAAUGGUGGUGCUACCCACAGCUGGGUCUGGGCUUUGUCAUUUGUGCCUCUGGAUGUUCUCAGAUGAUCCCACAUUAACCCAACAGGAUGAAAAUUCACUCAGAAUCUCAGAGUACAGCACUAAGUAAGCUUUGAUGCUUCAUCAAAAGGAAAGGAAGCAUAGCUGACUUCACUAAAGCUACUUCAUCUCCAACUAGCAGAUGGGGCACUUCUUCUCACCCAAGGAGAUGGGGAUCUGGUUUAGGGCGAUUUCUUUAUCUUUUGAUGUGCCGUGGUCUCCUGGAUAAUGUAUAAUUUGGUAGUGCAAAGAAAAUCAAUCAAGGAAGUCUGGAAAAGCUCUGGUCCCACAGUCUUACCUCAGAACAUGUAAAUAAUUAAAACAAUAUUGACACUAAGUUUCUUCUAUUACUAGCAUGAAAAUGACAAGUUUUUACUGGUGUGAAUGGGAGGAAGACAAUGCUAUUCCAUGAGGAGUUUGUGAAUUUUGGGGGCAGAGAGAAGCUCAAACACUGAGCAAUUCCUUAAAGUAAACUUGAGGUUAAAUAAUGAGUAGUAUUUAUAGCAUGGAUCAGGAAAAAUAUAAAGGAGGAGAACAUCAAUUAUCAGGAAAGCUAAAUAAUUUUAAAAAAUCUAAUAAUCUGAACAUAUACACAAUGCACAUUAUUGUACUUCAAUUCUAAUAAAGCAACAAUAUUAAGCUCCUUCA